rnacentral:rRNA from 1 species
UACGUGGGUGGCAAGCGUUGUCCGGAAUUAUUGGGCGUAAAGCGCGCGCAGGCGGAUUGGUCAGUCUGUCUUAAAAGUUCGGGGCUUAACCCCGUGAUGGGAUGGAAACUGCCAAUCUAGAGUAUCGGAGAGGAAAGUGGAAUUCCUAGUGUAGCGGUGAAAUGCGUAGAUAUUAGGAAGAACACCAGUGGCGAAGGCGACUUUCUGGACGAAAACUGACGCUGAGGCGCGAAAGCCAGGGGAGCGAACGGG